CCGCAGGUCCAACUAACCCCCCAAACCCCCCCGACUCCCCCGUGUUUGGUUUACAGAGUCCAGCGGGUCAAUCAACAAAUUAAACUUUAUUGAUAUAGCACCUUGCCCCCAGCUGUUCCUUUGGCCGUCUCUAGAACUGGAGCACAGUCCACCACUACAACAUCAUCAGCAUCAAAUACCACCGACCAAACCUCCAACACUGUAUUCCCAAUACUAGCUUCUACCGCUACUGCCACUGUUGAUUCUGCUACUGUUCCCUUUACUACUACUACUUCUUCUCCUACUACUACUGCUGAUGCUUCUUUUACUGUUCCUACUGACCAAACCAAUGCUACUGGACAAACCACUAUAACUUACCACCAAAAUACUACAACUACAACUAGCAGUGAUCUGACCAGUACCUUCUCCAAUAC